rnacentral:RNase_P_RNA from 1 species
UUUGGGCGUUGGGUGGCCGCGAAUGCUUUGCAAGAGGCGUUUGAGGAAAGUCCGGGCUCCAUAGGGCAGGGUGCUGGAUAACGUCCAGUAGAGGUAACUCUCAGGAUAGUGCCACAGAAAUGAGGACCGCCUCGGGGCUGUAUGGCCCGAGGUAAGGGUGCAACGGCGAGGUAAGAGCUCACCAGUGGUGUGGUGACGCAUCAGCUAGGUAAACCCCACCUGGAGCAAGACCCACGGAGGGCCGCAUGAGCGGCCGGUUGCCCGCCGGAUCCCCUCCUAAGAAGGUCGCUUGAGGCGCAUGGCAACAUGCGUCGAGAUAAAUGGCCGCCCUCGGCUCGCCGAGACAGAACCCGGCUUAUAGGCGCCCAAGUUGC